CAAGAAAUUAAGGGCUUAUGGUGGAUACCUUGGCAUUCAGAAGCGAUGAAGGACGCGGUUACCUGCGAUAAGCUUCGGGGAGCUGGAAACAAGCUUUGAUCCGGAGGUUUCCGAAUGAGGCAACUCCUAGAACUUCUUAUUGAAUAUAUAGGUAAGAAAGAGCAAACCCAGAGAAUUGAAACAUCUUAGUAUCUGGAGGAAAAGAAAGUAAAAACGAUUCCCUGAGUAGCGGCGAGCGAAACGGGAAAAGCCCAGCACUUAGCCCAUUGGUUUCUAAACGACCAAUUGGGGAUGCAGUGUAUGGAGUGUCCGUUAACUUGUUACAAUAGAUGAUGUACGUUCAAGUCCAUCUUGAAUGGGGCUAUUAACCCAUAGAGGGUGCCAGGCCCGUGGAACUACCAUCUGUAGCUUGUGGAUUACUCUUAAGAGUCGUGUUGCUUGAUAGUGCAGCACUAAGUGGGUGGUAAACUCCAUCUAAGGCUAAAUAUGACCACGAGACCGAUAGCGAACAAGUACCGUGAGGGAAAGAUGAAAAGAACUUUGAA
rnacentral:rRNA from 1 species